GUGCUGGAAGGUUACGAGGAGAGGUUAGAGCAAUCGAAGCUUUGAAUCUAAGCCCCAGUAAACGGCGGCCGUAACUAUAACGGUCCUAAGGUAGCGAAAUUCCUUGUCGGGUAAGUUCCGACCCGCACGAAAGGCGUAAUGAUUUGAGCGCUGUCUCGACAAUGCACCCGGUGAAAUUGAAAUACCAGUGAAGAUGCUGGUUACCUGCGCCAGGACGGAAAGACCCCAUGGAGCUUUACUCUAGCUUGAUACUGGGAUUCGGUACUGCAUGUACAGGAUAGGUGGGAGACUUUGAGGACAGGACGCCAGUCUUGUCGGAGUCGCUGUUGGGAUACCACCCUUGUGGUACUGGAUUUCUAACCAACCUCCGUGACCCGGAGGUGGGACAAUGUCAGGUGGGGAGUUUGACUGGGGCGGUCGCCUCCGAAAGGGUAUCGGAGGCGCUCAAAGGUUCCCUCAGAAUGGUUGGAAACCAUUCAAAGAGUGCAAAGGCAGAAGGGAGCUUGACUGCGAGACCGACGGGUCGAGCAGGUACGAAAGUAGGACUUAGUGAUCCGGUGGUAGAAAGUGGGAUUGCCAUCGCUCAACGGAUAAAAGCUACCCUGGGGAUAACAGGCUUAUCACUCCCAAGAGUUCACAUCGACGGAGUGGUUUGGCACCUCGAUGUCGGCUCAUCGCAUCCUGGGGCUGAAGUAGGUCCCAAGGGUUGGGCUGUUCGCCCAUUAAAGCGGUACGCGAGCUGGGUUCAGAACGUCGUGAGACAGUUCGGUCCCUAUCCGGCGCGGGCGUAGGAUAUUUGAGAGGAGCUGCCCUUAGUACGAGAGGACCGGGGUGGACUGGCCUCUGGUGUAUCUGUUG
rnacentral:rRNA from 2 species